rnacentral:rRNA from 1 species
GAUGAACGCUGGCGGCGUGCUUAACACAUGCAAGUCGAACGGGAAACCUUUUAUUGAAGCUUCGGCAGAUUUAGCUGGUUUCUAGUGGCGGACGGGUGAGUAACGCGUGGGUAACCUGCCUUAUACAGGGGGAUAACAACCAGAAAUGGUUGCUAAUACCGCAUAAGCGCACAGGACCGCAUGGUCCGGUGUGAAAAACUCCGGUGGUAUAAGAUGGACCCACGUUGGAUUAGCUAGUUGGCAGGGUAACGGCCUACCAAGGCGACGAUCCAUAGCCGGCCUGAGAGGGUGAACGGCCACAUUGGGACUGAGACACGGCCCAGACUCCUACGGGAGGCAGCAGUGGGGAAUAUUGCACAAUGGGGGAAACCCUGAUGCAGCGACGCCGCGUGAAGGAAGAAGUAUCUCGGUAUGUAAACUUCUAUCAGCAGGGAAGAUAGUGACGGUACCUGACUAAGAAGCCCCGGCUAACUACGUG